rnacentral:tRNA from 1 species
GGGCCCAUAGCUCAUCUGGUAGAGCGCCUCAUUUGCAAUGAGGAGGUGACCGGUUCGAUCCCGGUUGGGUCCA